UAAAAUAUUUUAUUCUGUCCUCUUGAGAUGUGACAUGAAGAAAAGUAUUGAGAAUACUUCUAUCACCUCAUCUUCAAGAAUCCAUAGGAAUUCUCCCACGAAGUUUGCAUUUGUCACUGAUAACUGUAAUAAUUGAUCUUGUUGAAAAGCCUGGGAAAUGAAGAUCUGAUAUGUCACUUUUACCAGCUUCCUCAACUGAAAAAGAAUACAACGAAACACGCCGAGAAUUUUUGUGCUUUCUCAGUCUUGCUGAUGAUCUUUCUAUGGGCAUGAAGCGUGGAGAGUGCCAGAGAGGCUGAUCCUCAGCAGUGUGGCAGAGGAAA
rnacentral:lncRNA from 1 species